rnacentral:rRNA from 1 species
CGGACUCAAGACUAGCCAUGCACGUCUAGUACAAACUAAAUGAUGGUGAAACUGCAAAUGGCUCAUUACAACGGUUAUGAUGUACCCGGGAGUUCCGAUGGAUAUUUCCAGUAACACUAGAACUAAUACAUGUCCCUGCGUUUAUUAGUUUCGCACAGUCCGUCGCUGAGUCAUGGUAAACAGUUGAUCGACUCGACGUCCCGGAACAGUUUCCGCCCCAUCAGCUUCGAUGGUUGGGUAUUGGCCUACCAUUGCAACAACGGGUAACGAGGAAUUAGGGUUUGAUUUCGGAGAGGGAGCCUGAGAAACGGCUACCACAUCUACGGAUGGCAGCAGGCGCGCAAAUUACCCAAUGCAGACACUGUGAGGUAGUGACGAGAAAUAAUAAAGCGGGACUUCUGUUUCGCUAUUAUAAUGAGGAAUAACCAAAGGUCAUUCCGAUUAGCAACUGAUGGGAAAGUCUGGUGCCAGCAGCCGCGGUAAUACCAGCGUCAGUAGCA